rnacentral:rRNA from 1 species
UACGAAGGGGGCGAGCGUUAUUCGGAAUUAUUGGGCGUAAAGGGCGCGUAGGCGGCUGUACAAGUCAAAGGUGAAAUCCCUCGGCUCAACUGAGGAACUGCCUUUGAAACUGUACGGCUUGAGGCCGGGAGGGGGUAGCGGAAUUCCCAGUGUAGCGGUGAAAUGCGUAGAUACUGGGAGGAACACCAGUGGCGAAGGCGGCGACCUGGUCCUUGACUGACGCUGAGGCGCGAAAGCGUGGGGAGCAAACAGG